rnacentral:rRNA from 1 species
GAUGAACGCUGUCUACAGGCUUAACACAUGCAAGUCGAGGGGAAACGCCGGGGAAGCUUGCUUCCCCGGGCGUCGACCGGCGCACGGGUGAGUAACGCGUAUCCAACCUGCCUCUGACUGAGGGAUAACCCGUCGAAAGUCGGCCUAAUACCUCAUGGCAUCGUCUGCGGGCAUCCAACGACGAUUAAAGAUUUCAUCGGUCAGGGAUGGGGAUGCGUCUGAUUAGCUUGUUGGCGGGGUAACGGCCCACCAAGGCUACGAUCAGUAGGGGUUCUGAGAGGAAGGUCCCCCACAUUGGAACUGAGACACAGUCCAAACUCCUACGGGAGGCAGCAGUGAGGAAUAUUGGUCAAUGGGCGGGAGCCUGAACCAGCCAAGUAGCGUGCAGGAGGACGGCCCUAUGGGUUGUAAACUGCUUUUAUGCGGGGAUAAAGUGAGGGACGUGUCCUUCAUUGCAGGUACCGCAUGAAUAAGGACCGGCUAAUUCCGUG